rnacentral:rRNA from 1 species
CCUACGGGAGGCAGCAGUGAGGAAUAUUGGUCAAUUGACGAGAGUCUGAACCAGCCAAGUAGCGUGAAGGAUGACUGCCCUAUGGGUUGUAAACUUCUUUUAUAUGGGAAUAAAAUGUUCCACGUGUGGGAUUUUGUAUGUACCAUAUGAAUAAGGAUCGGCUAACUCCGUGCCAGCAGCCGCGGUAAUACGGAGGAUCUGAGCGUUAUCCGGAUUUAUUGGGUUUAAAGGGAGCGUAGGUGGAUUGUUAAGUCAGUUGUGAAAGUUUGCGGCUCAACCGGAAAAUUGCAGUUGAAACUGGCAGUCUUGAGUACAGUAGAGGUGGGCGGAAUUCGUGGUGUAGCGGUGAAAUGCUUAGAUAUCACGAAGAACUCCGAUUGCGAAGGCAGUUCACUGGACUGCAACUGACACUGAGGCGCGAAAGUGUGGGUAUCAAACAGGAUUAGAUACCCCAGUAGUC